rnacentral:sRNA from 1 species
UCCCUUUGGUUUCUUUAUUCCUCCCCAGGUUAUGGGAUCAUUGCUUCGAUUGACAUUUUGGGGGAGAGCAAGCAGGCUUAGAGGAAGGGAGACUACACUGGGUGUUGUGGAGCAGGGAUGCCACCAGUGGCUGUCUCUGACCUAACGUGGCUAUGGCUGGACAUUUCUGUCUCAAGGACAGAGUGGAACACCUAGAAGAUCGAAGAAGCAAGGUACCCACCACGCAGACGUGCCGAAGGUUGCCAAUGACACACCGGACUCUGGAACAUCAUUUUUCCAAGUCGAGAGAAAGCCAAGUGGAUUUCUGAAACUAAUUGCUCACACACUGGAACAUGCUAGUGAAGGAACUCUACACAAGCAAAGUCAAGUCUCGAAGCGACCGUGGUAACAAGAUGCGCAGCGCCCAACCCUCGAAGGGAGAAUCACUCAGAAAGCACAAGAACAAGAAAUCCUAACAGACAGGAGGGGGCCAACGAAUCAUUCUUUCCUCUGCUGGCCCAGCUUGCACUUCUCUGCCAUGUCUGUCUGUCUGUUGGCCCAACUGCCCAUCUGCCUGUCUGUCCACCUCCCCCCCUCGCCCCCGUGUGUGUCUGUAUGUCAGUGAGGAAGCAUGCCUGUGGUUGCCAGAGGACUAGUUCAGUUGUCACGUCUCUGGCUACCUUUUCUCUUAAGACAGGUUUUCUGACUGGCCCGGAAUUUGCCUAGUAGACUGGGCUGGCUAGCCAGAGAGUUCCAGGGACCCACUGGUCUCUCCCUCUCCAGGGCGAGGAUUACAAGCAUGUGCU